UAAAUUUUAUUUAUUAAUUUUAUUUAUUUAAGUAUUAUAUUUAAUAAAAAUAAUUUUAAUUCAAUAUAGUUUUAGUAUUUUUUAAAGAAAUAAUAAUUUUAAUAAUAGUUUAUUUGUAUUGUAAAAGAAGAUUGAAAUAAUUUGAACAAUUUUUAUUUUAAAAGAAAAUUUAAUUUAUUGUACCUUGUGUAUCAGGGUUUAUUAAUUAAUUAAUUAUUAUAGUAAUUUUUCUCGAAUUUUAAAGAUUUAAUUAUAUAUAAAAGUUAUUGUGGAAUAAUUAUUUUUAAUAUAUAAUUAGAAAUGAAAUGUUAAUCGUUUUAAAAUAUAUCUAGUUUUUUAAGAAAUAAAUUUAAUCUAGAUUUAUAAAUUAACAGUAUUAUUUAUUUAAUAUUUUUAAUUUAUAAAAUUAAUAUUUUAAGGGAUUAGCUUUAAAAUAAAUUUUUAAAUUUUAAAAAAGUAUUUAAUAAAUGUAAGCUUAAAAAUAGUUAUCAUUAAUAAAUUUGUUAUAAUUUAUUUUAAAUUUUUUAUUAUUUAUUAUAAAAUUAAAUUAUUUAUUAAAAAUAUAAUUUUAAUAUUAAUGAUUUAUAAAUUAUGGUAAAUUAGUAUAUUUAAUUUAUAUAAAUUAUUUAAAUUGAGAGGUUUAAAUAAGGAAUUCGGCAAAUUAUAUAUUCACCUGUUUAUCAAAAACAUGUCUUUUUGUAUUUAAUUUAAAGUCUAACCUGCCCACUGAUAGAUAUUAAAGGGCCGCAGUAUUUUGACUGUGCGAAGGUAGCAUAAUCAGUAGUCUUUUAAUUGAAGGCUUGUAUGAAUGGUUGAAUGAGAUAUAUACUGUCUUUUUUAAAUUUUUAUAGAAUUUUAUUUUUUAAUUAAAAAGUUAAAAUAUAAUUAAAAGACGAGAAGACCCUAUAGAUCUUUAUUUUUUUUAAUUAUAAGUUAAAAAGAAUAAUUAAAUUUAUAGUUUUAUAAAAAAUUUUACUGGGGUGGUAUUAAAAUUUAAUUAACUUUUAUUAUUUGUUUACAUUAAUAUAUGUAUAUUUGAUCCAAUUUUAUUGAUUAAAAAAUUAAGUUACCUUAGGGAUAACAGCGUAAUUUUUUUUUAGAGUUCUUAUCGACAAAAAAGAUUGCGACCUCGAUGUUGGAUUAAGAAUUAUUUUUAGGUGUAGAAGUUUAAAGUUUAGGUCUGUUCGACCUUUGAAUUCUUACAUGAUCUGAGUUCAAACCGGCGUAAGCCAGGUUGGUUUCUAUCUUUAAUAAAUUAUUAUAUUAUAGUACGAAAGGACCUAAUAUAAAAAAUAUAAAUUUUAAAUUUAUGAAUUAUAUUAAUAUUUAAUAA